ensembl:lncRNA
AUGACUGGUCACCUCUGGGCUCUGUCUAUUUCCCUCCUUGACCUUCAAGGAGAAGUAGACAUUGUGUUGAGAGAAAUCACCAUAACCAUGAUCAAAAAACAUACCAAAAGUAUAAAACUUGGAAAGAUGGGAUUAUGGAUCAAAAUAAAGGAAACUGGUAAACAAAGUCUCAUCUUUGUAUGUCCUCAGGAAAUUGGGAACCUACCGUGCUCUGGAAUAACUGCUGGGAACAUGGCGAACUAUGUGGCCACUAUCCCUGAAAAGCUGUACCUUUGAAGGCAGCAGCUCCAUAUCGAUGCUUAGCACAUUGAAGAGGUCCCCACAGCUACUUCUGUGGAGAUGGCUAUACAGAGCUUAGGAGAAAGUUCUGCUGGCUACCUGAAAAUUAGGACCGCACUCACCUGUACUCUGGGUUGGCAGAAGACCUAAUUGUGAAUUGGUACUCAUGUGCAAAACGCACUGUUCUGCCUAAUUAAUUCCUCUGCAUUGAUGUUUUGUAUCAUUCAUGGCCCUUUCUGGCAUAUCCUGGUUCUGUCGAAUGACAACUCUCUUGAAGUCUGGGUGAUUUCUGUUCUUUGAGUGUGAAGUGAAUUUGCAACUGAAGCAAAAUAAAAGAUAUAGGUGGUAAGGUUUUCAAUCUUCUUCUACGCCCUCCAACCCACAUUCUCUGCUAAAGAGGAAAUUUUACUUAUAGGAUCAGCUUCUAGUCCUUCAUGGCAUUUUCCAGUCAAGUCUGCCAAGUGUUUGGCGGGGGUGGGUGAGUGUGGGUGGGGUGGUUGUAAGCAUGUUUUAUUGUACUGGUGCACCCUAAGCCCCCUGCGCCACCAAAGACAUAGCCUCUGGAAGAGAUUACUACCUGACUUGCCAAAUUAUUCAGUUCCGUCUCAGGCUCCUGAAUCCAACCUAAAGUUGAUACACAGGAAGCAACCAGAGGACAGUUUGAGAGCUCAGAAUCAGGGAACCUGUGAGUACCUGAGAGUCUGUUUCCAUUCCCGAAGGGUUGUGGGUAGAAGAAGGGUACAGCUUGCCUCGUAUGGCCCAGAAAGCAGGACCAGGAUGGAGGAUGGAGAAGAUGGGAAGAUAUGAAAGGCAGAGAAGUGGACCCAAUCCAUUAUUUGAGGAUUAAACAUAUACAAAAAAGUGGGAAUGGAUUGAUCAGGGUAUAUAGUUGGCCAGAUUUAGCAAAAAACAAAACAAAACAAAAAAACAGGGCAGCCAGUUAAAUUUGAAUUUCAGAUAAACAAUAAAUCAUCCCAUACAAUAUUUGGGACAUAUUUAUACUAAAACAUUAUUAAUUGUUUAUCUGAAAUUCAAAUUUAACUGGGCAUCUUGUAUUUUAUCUGGACACCCUCCCAGGACAAUGGAUUUUUGUCACCGAAGGUGUCCAAGCCGAGUCUGGGACACAGGUGGAAGGCUGUCUCAUGGGGAUGGGCUGAGAUCUCAAAUGGCAGCUUGGGUUGAAGAGCCCCACUCCCAAUCAGGUAAUCAAUUUCACCCUUUUCCCAGUUUCAGAGUGUUCAGGUAAGGGGCAUCCUCCUGCUCAGGGGAAGGGCUGUUAAUUCACUGUCUGUGUGAGUGUGAAGUGAAUCUGCAACUGAGGCAGCUAGGUCCAGCAGCAACUUGUUUAGAGCUCUGUCCUUAGUCACCUACAGCAGCAGCUGGCAUCCUGCAUCCAAGAGCAGCUAGCCUGGGGAUGAUGCAGGUGUGGACCCGCCCCCCAGGGCUGGACUCCCUCCCAUUUCAGUCCUUAUCAAGCCUCUCUUGGGUGGUAAGCUGUCGCCUGGCCCUAGGCCACUCCCUUGGCCUGUCAUCACCCACACACACUCGAUUAGGGGAUUGGAGUGACUUACAGGGGCUCCUCUCCCCCAGGGUCAGCAUUUGCAUAGGGUGAUGGAUGCUGAGAUGUCAUCUAAACACAUCCGCACUUUGCAUUUUAAACAAAGCAAUUUCCAGAGGAAGCCGGGGGAGCUUUGCCUCCUUCCAAGGAACGGUUCCUCUGAGUCAAAUUAUCUCUCCUUUUGGCCAGCAGUUUCCACAUCUGCCCUGGGGCCCUCCCCUCUGUUGGCCUUCUGUCCCUGCUUCCCCCCACCUAGUGACCUCAAUGUGAAGCAGAGGGUAGCCUGGGACAUAGAAUAAAGAAAGACACAGGUCCCCGGCCAAGACCAGGCAAGGACCACCCAGGCUUUCCUCUGUACCUGACACUGGUAUCUCCUUCCCAUUCACCGUCCUGCAGGACGCCUGUGACUAGGAUAGGAGAGCAAUCUCAGCCAGGACAAGUCCCCUAUAAUGCAUGGUUUAUGGGACACAGAACAUCUGCUCCAAACAUCCAGGCCCUGCAAACAUCUCCAUGUCCCACGGUGCAAGCCAGCGUUGCCUCCUGAGAUCCUUCUGUGUUCUGUCCGGGAAUAUGGGAUUCCUUCUGCCUAAGGUCUGACUUCUCAUACCAUACAGUUAAGACUUUUUCUUCUUAGUAAACCUGAGCCUUCACCCCAGGGACCUCUAGGAUGAUGAUAAAAAUGUCAGCAUAAUAUAAGCUCAUAAGGUUUGGCUGGAUUUUUUUUUUCUCCAAAGUCACGCAGAAAGGAAUAAGGUAGGAGGAUUUUUGUCCCCUGUAAUGUAGUCUGAAGGCCAGCAGCAUCAUCUCAGCUCAGUUACUUCUGCAGGGUAUGUCUUUGGGUAAAGUCACUUAACCAGCAAACUGGCACAGCAGUGCCUCCUCUGGUGGCCCCACUGUCACAGAGCACAGGAGCUGCUUGGCACAGGAGUCUCCAAAUGCACGCUUGUGUCUGCUCUUUCCCUUCCUGCCCUGAUGGAGAUGUUAGUAAGCUGACCCAGGUUGGGAACAAGCCGUGCCUGGCAGGGGUGAGGGGCAGACAUCUGUAGCUGGGGGAGGCUCCUGUGAGGCCAUGGGUGUCUCACAGUAGAAGGAGGGUUGCGGGGAGCAAACGCUUGUUGAGUGCCUACUAUGCACCCAGUCUUUUAGACAACAACUUCAUAGUCUAAAAUAUGACAUGGUGGUUAGGAGAAGAGACAUUAAUUGAACUCAUACAGACCUGGAUUCAAAUCUGACCUCUGUAACCUCAAACAAGUAGAAUAACCUUUCUGAGCUUUAGUCUCCCAUAGAAUGUAGGCAGUAGCAUUUACAUCGGACACUCAUUGUGAGGAAUGAAGGGCCUAAUAUGUGUGAAGUAUCUGGGAUAUGGAAGCAUCCACUAAUGCUGCCCAUUAGCAUCCUCACGCGGUGUGAUCAGCUGCAUUACAUAGAUUG